GACCCGAAACACUUAGGGGGCCAGGGC
rnacentral:sRNA from 1 species